UACUCCGUAGCUCAGCCGGUACGAGCAGCAAGCUGUUAACUUGAAGGUCGCAGGUUCAACCCCUGCCGGAGCCU
rnacentral:tRNA from 1 species